rnacentral:rRNA from 1 species
AGAGUUUGAUCCUGGCUCAGGAUGAACGCUGGCGGCGUGCCUAAUACAUGCAAGUCGAACGCUUCACUUCGGUGAAGAGUGGCGAACGGGUGAGUAAUACAUAAGUAACCUGGCCUUUACAGGGGGAUAACUAUUGGAAACGAUAGCUAAGACCGCAUAGGUGUCAUAACCGCAUGGAGAUGAUAUGAAAUAUGCUACGGCAUAGGUAGAGGAUGGACUUAUGGCGCAUUAGCUAGUUGGAGGGGUAACGGCCCACCAAGGCGACGAUGCGUAGCCGACCUGAGAGGGUGACCGGCCACACUGGGACUGAGACACGGCCCAGACUCCUACGGGAGGCAGCAGUAGGGAAUCUUCGGCAAUGGGGGCAACCCUGACCGAGCAACGCCGCGUGAGUGAAGAAGGUUUUCGGAUCGUAAAGCUCUGUUGUAAGUCAAGAACGAGUGUGAGAGUGGAAAGUUCACACUGUGACGGUAGCUUACCAGAAAGGGACGGCUAACUACGUGCCAGCAGCCGCGGUAAUACGUAGGUCCCGAGCGUUGUCCGGAUUUAUUGGGCGUAAAGCGAGCGCAGGCGGUUUGAUAAGUCUGAAGUUAAAGGCUGUGGCUCAACCAUAGUUCGCUUUGGAAACUGUCAAACUUGAGUGCAGAAGGGGAGAGUGGAAUUCCAUGUGUAGCGGUGAAAUGCGUAGAUAUAUGGAGGAACACCGGUGGCGAAAGCGGCUCUCUGGUCUGUAACUGACGCUGAGGCUCGAAAGCGUGGGGAGCGAACAGGAUUAGAUACCCUGGUAGUCCACGCCGUAAACGAUGAGUGCUAGGUGUUGGAUCCUUUCCGGGAUUCAGUGCCGCAGCUAACGCAUUAAGCACUCCGCCUGGGGAGUACGACCGCAAGGUUGAAACUCAAAGGAAUUGACGGGGGCCCGCAC